rnacentral:rRNA from 1 species
UACGUAUGGUGCAAGCGUUAUCCGGAUUUACUGGGUGUAAAGGGAGCGUAGGCGGCCAUGUAAGUCAGAAGUGAAAGCCCGGGGCUCAACCCCGGGACUGCUUUUGAGACUGUGUGGCUGGAGUGUCGGAGGGGUAAGUGGAAUUCCUAGUGUAGCGGUGAAAUGCGUAGAUAUUAGGAGGAACACCAGUGGCGAAGGCGGCUUACUGGACGAUCACUGACGCUGAGGCUCGAAAGCGUGGGGAGCAAACAGG